GUCUAUGUGCGCGGACGGCGGCCGCGACGCGCUCAGUCCCCGAGCCGCCCCCGGCCGGCACCCGCCUCCAUUAGCAGCGGCAGCGGCGGUGGCAGCGGCUGCAGCAACAACCUGCCCUCGCCAUGUUGGAAGGAAACGACGUCAGGGCCGCGGCCGCACGGCUGCGGAGCGGGAGGAAGCGGCGGCCGUGCCCCGGCCGGGCGGGUGGAGGGAGGGAGGGAGACGGCCGGGCGGGGGGGGCGCGCUCGCCUUCUGCCCGCCCCACGGGCGCGCUACAGGUGAAGUAGACCCGCAGGAGGCAGCGGAGAGGUAGAUGCAGAUAAUCAGUGCGUGAUGGAUCAGGGUCCAGAUGGGUCUGGCAGAUGGGAACCUGGAACAAGAGAGAAGCUGUGAUUCUGUUCUGCAACUGCAAGCACCUUGGUGGAGAAGUUUCCAAGUCUCUUGCUGAAUGCAUAAGAUUUAACGGGGAAUAAAGACUUCUGAAGAGAAGUACAAAGGGAUGAGAAUUAAGCAAUUAUGGAGAUAAAAAAGAGCUGUUCAGAGAAGUAACAUU